UUUUGUCCUUUUCUUUUAUUUUACUUCCCUGUUGCUUGGUCCCGACUCCUAGCCAUUGUCCAUGCCAACCCCCUUCACCUCUGAGCAAAGAAAUCAGAGCCGUUUAUUUUUUCAUGAUUGAAUUUGCCUGUGUCCGAUUGUUUUGAGAGAAAGAAUUAUGAAUGCCUUCUACCUUUCGUUUUUCCACCUGGUCAUUGAUUCUGUGCGUUUUCAUUUUGUAGGGCGGUUUAUCUGGCACUCAGCAGAUUGUCCUUGAGGGACCUCUCUGUGAAGAUUAUUACAAGAUUCGUGAUUAUUUGUACUCUCAGUUUUAUUUGCUUUGAGAUUAGAUACAUAUGCAAUUCUACUUUUGGGGUAAAGAAGCCUGUGCCAUGUCCCGAUAUUCUGUUAUGAGCCAUCAAAAGCUUUUAUCUUAUAAACCAAACACAAGUGCCAUCACCACCUGCAGCAAUGGCUGUACAUUGUGAACGGCCAUUGCCACCGCUACAGUGG
rnacentral:lncRNA from 1 species